UACAGAGGGUGCAAGCGUUAAUCGGAAUUACUGGGCGUAAAGCGUGCGUAGGCGGUCAUGUAAGUCGGGUGUGAAAGCCCCGGGCUCAACCUGGGAAUUGCAUUCGAGACUGCAUGGCUAGGAUGCGGAAGAGGGAAGCGGAAUUUCCGGUGUAGCGGUGAAAUGCGUAGAUAUCGGAAGGAACACCAGUGGCGAAAGCGGCUUCCUGGUCCAGCAUCGACGUUCAGGCACGAAAGCGUGGGGAGCAAACAGG
rnacentral:rRNA from 1 species